rnacentral:lncRNA from 1 species
AAAGAAGUGGCCCUGCAAUGUCGUCACCAUUGAGGGCAGCCAAACACCCAUUGAGGGAAGCCAAGUACGUAGCCAUGCGCCUCCUCAAGUGACUUCAUUUUUUGACUUUUUUUUUGGUAAAGUUUUGGGCUCUCAUUCUUAUUUAUUUGUUUGUAAUUGGACCCUUUUUUCAAAGAAAACAUGGCGUAUCUUCUUCAAAAUUGAUGGUGAGAAAAUUUUUCCAAAGAAAUUCAACCAAGAGCAAGGGUCGGAGGGUAUGGAGAGGUCGGCGAGGGCAGGGGCCGGCGAAGGUGAGGACGAGAGCAGGGCAGCGAGAUCGGCAAGGGCAGAGGGCGUCAAGGGCGAAGGCAACUGCUACGAUGCGGAGGGAUUUAAGAUGAGGGCGAGGCAGUGGUAGUGGAAUAUUGCAAGGGGGGAAAAUCAGGGUUUUGAUAGGGAAAGGCUGGGGUCGGCGGGAAUGCUAGCAAUGUCGGCGAGGUCAGGGUGGUGGUGUUUGGCAGGCGGUGGUGGUGAAAUAUUGCAGGCGGUGAGAUGNAAAAAAAUUGAAAAUUUUCGAUCAAAAUUGGGGGCAAAUUUGUGAACAAUAAAUUAAACAAGGGACACUGUAGCAUCCCAGUAUCAAUAACCGAGGGUGACCCCUGCAUCUGUUUCCCUUAAGGAACAAUGUUUUUUGCUCGGGCCCACGUCCAAACUCGAGCUCUUCACUUUAUGCUACCUCCCUACCAAACAGAGGAAAAGGCCCAGUUAUAUAUGUAAUGAAGCCUUAAUUGGGCUAUCAAACUAUCUCG